rnacentral:rRNA from 1 species
GAUGAACGCUGGCGGCGUGCCUAAUACAUGCAAGUCGAACGAGUGGCGGACGGGUGAGUAAUGUCUGGGAAACUGCCCGAUGGAGGGGGAAAACUACUGGAAACGGUAGCUAAAACCGCAUACCAUCGGAUGUGCCCAGAUGGGAUUAGCUAGUAGGUGGGGUAACGGCUCACCUAGGCGACGAUCCCUGGCUGGUCUGAGAGGAUGACCAGCCACACUGUAACUGAGACACGGUCCAGACGCCUACGGGAGGCAGCAGUGGGGAAUAUUGCACAAUGGGCUCAAGCCUGAUGCAGCCAUGCCGCGUGUAUGAAGAAGGCCUUCGGGUUGUAAAGUACUUUCAUCGUGGAGGCGUUACUCGCAGAAGAAGCACCGGCUAACUCCGUGCCAGCAGCCGCGGUAAUUC